rnacentral:rRNA from 1 species
GCCUAAAGCGUCCGUAGCCUGCUUUGUAAGUUUUCGGUUAAAUCCAUAUGCUCAACAUAUGGGCUGCCGGAAAUACUGCACAGCUAGGGAGUGGGAGAGGUAGACGGUACUCGGUAGGAAGGGGUAAAAUCCUUUGAUCUAUUGAUGACCACCUGUGGCGAAGGCGGUCUACCAGAACACGUCCGACGGUGAGGGAUGAAAGCUGGGGGAGCAAACCGGAUUAGAUACCCGGGUAGUCCCAGCUGUAAACUAUGCAAACUCGGUGAUGCGUUGGCUUGUAGCCAGCGCAGUGCCGCAGGGAAGCCGUUAAGUUUGCCGCCUGGGAAGUACGUACGCAAGUAUGAAACUUAAAGGAAUUGGCGGGGGAGCACCACAAGGGGUGAAGCCUGCGGUUCAAUUGGAGUCAACGCCAGAAAUCUUACCCGGAGAGACAGCAGAAUGAAGGUCAAGCUGAAGACUUUACCAGACAAGCUGAGAGGUGGUGCAUGGCCGUCGCCAGCUCGUGCCGUGAGAUGUCCUGUUAAGUCAGGUAACGAGCGAGACCCUUGCCUCUAGUUGCCACCAUUACUCUCAGGAGUAGUGGGGCGAAUUAGCGGGACCGCUGCAGUUAAUGUGGAGGAAGGAAAGGGCCACGGCAGGUCAGUAUGCCCCGAA